rnacentral:tRNA from 1 species
CAGGGAGACAACAAAAUGUUAAUUAUUAAUUUUGUCACCUUAGGUCGAUCGGUAUCUCACAUUCUUAUUUUUAAGAAUUUCAUUUCCUAAGUUUUUCUAGGUCACACCCAUUAUUUUUCCUGGGCCAUUAGCUCAGGUGGUUAGAGCGCACCCCUGAUAAGGGUGAGGUCCCUGGUUCAAGUCCAGGAUGGCCCAUAUCUCUAUGUUGGGGGUAUAGCUCAGUUGGUAGAGCGCCUGCUUUGCAAGCAGGAUGUCAGCGGUUCGAGUCCGCUUACCUCCACUGAUUACCACCUCUUCCAUAAUCUUUAGAAGGGGAAUGUUUUGAGUUGUGAUCUAAUUCUGAACGAAUCUAGCUUCCUAAUGAAAUCAUUAAGAUGCUGGACUCAUUGAAUUUAUUUCAUUGUUUUCAGAGAACCUUGACAACUGCAUAGAUUAUUUUUAAAGACAAUAAGCAUCUUUUAUGAUGCAGAUUUUUUAUUUGUGCGAAUGCAUUAAUAACAAUUCUAUUAAGCUGAUGCUUCAAUUAAUGAAGUUAUU